GAUGAACGCUGGCGGCGUGCCUAAUACAUGCAAGUCGAGCGAACAGAUGAGGAGCUUGCUCCUCUGACGUUAGCGGCGGACGGGUGAGUAACACGUGGAUAACCUACCUAUAAGACUGGGAUAACUUCGGGAAACCGGAGCUAAUACCGGAUAAUAUAUUGAACCGCAUGGUUCAAUAGUGAAAGACGGUUUUGCUGUCACUUAUAGAUGGAUCCGCGCCGCAUUAGCUAGUUGGUAAGGUAACGGCUUACCAAGGCAACGAUGCGUAGCCGACCUGAGAGGGUGAUCGGCCACACUGGAACUGAGACACGGUACAGACUCCUACGGGAGGCAGCAGUAGGGAAUCUUCCGCAAUGGGCGAAAGCCUGACGGAGCAACGCCGCGUGAGUGAUGAAGGUCUUCGGAUCGUAAAACUCUGUUAUUAGGGAAGAACAAAUGUGUAAGUAACCAUGCACGUCUUGACGGUACCUAAUCAGAAAGCCACGGCUAACUACGUG
rnacentral:rRNA from 1 species